rnacentral:rRNA from 1 species
GUUUAUAGCCAUACUGCUUUGAACUGUGCCUGAUCAAGUCUCAUUUCAGAAGCUAAGCAGGGUCAGGUCUGGCCAGCACCUGAUGGAAGAAAAUA